UGUUUACAAUGUACCAAUGAAAAUAUGUUACAUAUACAAGUUUCAGUUGAAACUGAUUUUUAAGAUGAAAGGCCAUCAUGCCACACCUUGCAAUGUAUGCUGAUUAAAGCUGAAUGUCAAAGUUAACCUGCAAGAUAGCUGGGUGGCAGGAGGCAAAUAAUUUCUCCACCCAAAUCAUCACAGGUGCCUGCUAAAAAAAGUAUGAAUGAUCCUCUGAGAAACAAUGUUCGCAACUUCCUUUCAAUGGAUAUCUCACCUCAACCUCAUCCUGCGUCAGUGGUGUAGAAACUAAAGCAUGGAGAUCAGAAGAGAAGGCCUCUUAGCCAAACAAACUGCCAGUCCCUAAUUCUCCUUGUUGCAGUUCUUUUCUGCGCUGCUCUUCCAAAGGAUCUGGACUCUUCAAUAUCCUUCGCAGACGCCUGUCUUGGGCAUGCUGAGCAGGAAAAGUAGGCAUAAAAUCCUUAGACUUGGGAAGAGGAACUUCACGAAACCAUUCGUGGUUAAGAGCAGCAUCAGCAGUUAUUCGCUUCUCAGGGUCAUAGGUUAGAAGUUUGUUCAACAAAUCAAAUCCAGAAUCAGAAAGAACUGGCGAUCCAGUGAAAGAUGUUGCUGGGAAUUUCUUACGCAGUAGGUUAUACUGAUGCUUAACAAAGUUGACCUUCACACCAGGUAACUUGGAGAACCCAGGCCAGAUCGUCUCAUUUGGUGUGCCAAGUAUUCGGAAAAUCUUAUCAAGUUGAUCAAAUUCUGUUUUCCCAUUGAAAAGUGGUUCUUUUGCCAACAGUUCAGCCAUAAUACAAC
rnacentral:misc_RNA from 1 species